rnacentral:rRNA from 1 species
AGAGUUUGAUCAUGGCUCAGGAUGAACGCUAGCUACAGGCUUAACACAUGCAAGUCGAGGGGAAACGACAUCGAAAGCUUGCUUUUGAUGGGCGUCGACCGGCGCACGGGUGAGUAACGCGUAUCCAACCUGCCCACCACUUGGGGAUAACCUUGCGAAAGUAAGACUAAUACCCAAUGACGUCUCUAGAAGGCAUCUGAAAGAGAUUAAAGAUUUAUCGGUGAUGGAUGGGGAUGCGUCUGAUUAGCUUGUUGGCGGGGUAACGGCCCACCAAAGCAACGAUCAGUAGGGGUUCUGAGAGGAAGGUCCCCCACAUUGGAACUGAGACACGGUCCAAACUCCUACGGGAGCA